GACGAACGCUGGCGGCGUGCCUAAUACAUGCAAGUCGAGCGAAUGGAUUAAGAGCUUGCUCUUAUGAAGUUAGCGGCGGACGGGUGAGUAACACGUGGGUAACCUGCCCAUAAGACUGGGAUAACUCCGGGAAACCGGGGCUAAUACCGGAUAACAUUUUGAACCGCAUGGUUCGAAAUUGAAAGGCGGCUUCGGCUGUCACUUAUGGAUGGACCCGCGUCGCAUUAGCUAGUUGGUGAGGUAACGGCGCACCAAGGCAACGAUGCGUAGCCGACCUGACAGGGGGAUCGGCGACACUGGGACUGAGACACGGCCCAGACUCCUACGGGAGGCAGCAGUAGGGAAUCUUCCGCAAUGGACGAAAGUCUGACGGAGCAACGCCGCGUGAGUGAUGAAGGCUUUCGGGUCGUAAAACUCUGUUGUUAGGGAAGAACAAGUGCUAGUUGAAUAAGCUGGCACCUUGACGGUACCUAACCAGAAAGCCACGGCUAACUACGUGCCAGCCGCCGCGGUAA
rnacentral:rRNA from 1 species